GUUCUAGUCUGUAACUGACGCUGAGGCUCGAAAGCAUGAGUAGCGAACAGGAUUAGAUACCUGGUAGUCCAUGCGUAAACGAUGAGUGCUAAGUGUUGGAGGGUUCCGCCUUUCAGUGCUGCAGCUAACGCAUUAAGCACUCCGCCUGGGGAGUACGACCGCAAGGUUGAAACUCAAAGGAAUUGACGGGGGCCCGCACAGCGGUGGAGCAUGUGGUUUAAUUCGAAGCUACGCGAAGAACCUUACCAGGUCUCGACAUCUUCUGCCAAUCUUAGAGAUAAGACGUUCCCUUCGGGGACAGAAUGACAGGUGGUGCAUGGUUGUCGUCAGCUCGUGUCGUGAGAUGUUGGGUUAAGUCCCGCAACGAGCGCAACCCUUAUUAUCAGUUGCCAGCAUUCAGUUGGGCACUCUGGUGAGACUGCCGGUGACAAACCGGAGGAAGGUGGGGAUGACGUCAAAUCAUCAUGCCCCUUAUGACCUGGGCUACACACGUGCUACAAUGGACGGUACAACGAGUCGCGAAGUCGUGAGGCUAAGCUAAUCUCUUAAAGCCGUUCUCAGUUCGGAUUGUAGGCUGCAACUCGCCUACAUGAAGUUGGAAUCGCUAGUAAUCGCGGAUCAGCAUGCCGCGGUGAAUACGUUCCCGGGCCUUGUACACACCGCCCGUCACACCAUGAGAGUUUGUAACACCCAAAGCCGGUGAGAUAACCUUCGGGAGUCAGCCGUCUAAGGUGGGACAGAUGAUUAGGGUGAAGUCGUAACAAGGUAACCA
rnacentral:rRNA from 1 species